GACCUCUUACUAAUAAAUUCACGCUUCACAAAACAAACGCCAGACCCAAACCCUGACAUUAUUAGCCAUCCCUUCCUCUUUCAUCUCUCUCCCGUUUCUUCUCUUAAUCCUUCUUGUUCAAACUAAUCCAAUCAUCCAGUUAUCUGGGUGAAUACCUCUCUCUCAAACAGAAUUGGGGUUUCUUUCAGAUCUGAGGUGAAUCGAUCGACAAGAAAAUUUGAUGAUUUUGCAUUUGGCUCCAACUAAUUUGGGUUUCUCAUCUCACCUACUUGGAUUCCGCCGAAGUGGACAUAGCCUUGCAGCGAUGGUCAUACAUGGUAACCCUUUAUUCUUUGACAUUUAGUUCCUCGAUUUCUAGAGUUUCUCUAGUUUUCCAAUAUUGACCCUUUUUCUGGCUCUUGUGCUUCUUCUUCGUGAUCGGCUAUCCACAUCAUUUACACUGAGAGGCCGCAGCAAAAUGAGGAGCCUGAGCUAUCACAUCCGAACCCUAGCCUUCGUCCUUGGCAGUGAAAAGACUGCCAAGGAAGUUCUGGUUUAAAGUUACAAGACGGCUGCCAGUGGAUUCUCUGCUAAGCUCACUCAACAGGUCGCCGAAAAUCUCGAAGUGUCAUUAUUUGCCUUACUAUUUUGCGGUGUGUGAAUUGAGAAUGUAAUAAUACUUUUUCGAUUGCUGGUGGAGGAACUUCAGCACCUAAAGAAGAGGUCAAGCGUCUGCCGGGUGGGAAGGUCAAGAAAAAGGAGAAGCUGGAGGUUAUUAUUGAAAAGGUUACACACAAUAAGCGAAAAUGUAUCACAACUAUCAAAGGACUGGAGCUUUUUGGUGUCAAACUUAGUGAUACUUCAAAGAAGUUAGGGAAGAAAUUUGCUACAGGAGCUUCUGUUGUCAAGGGGCCAACCGAGAAGGACCAAAUUGAUGUUCAAGGGGAUAUAUUUUAUGACAUUGUGGAGUUCAUUACCGACACCUGGCCUGAUCAAAAUUAGAUCUUUUCUUAAGUUGGAAGAUGUGCUUAGUUUGUAAUCUUUCACAAAUGCAUGUGAGUCACUGAAGGUCCACUGAAAGGGGCUCCAGUUGUUUUUAAGAAUUUUAAACCAUGAAGGUUUAUCCUGCACAAAGGCCGGUGGAAAUGAGGCUGAUAUGAUGGCUGCUAAUGAGUUAAAUGCUCACACAUCCCUUCAAGACAGUUCAGAUGGUAUUUACCAGAAUCUUGUGACACUCAUACGUGGGUUUGAAACAACAACUGGGAAGCAGUUCUAGGACACAAAAAUUGUGUCCUUAUAGGAAAAAGAGGACACAUUUUGCUUGAUACAAGAACACAUUUUUUGUGUCCUCUAAUAGAUUCGGAAAUUUGGUCGAUGUGAAUGUUGAGGACUUUAUCUCGGAUGAGCUCCUAGAGUAUAUAUCACUGAUAGUUGACAGGUUAGAUGAAACCUCGAUGCUAGCUAUCAAUUGACUGAUGAGAAUAAAAAGCUCAACAGAGAAGGAAAGGACAUGGUAAUUGAAAAAGAAGCAUAUUGAAAACUAGGAAACCAAAAGCGGAUAUAGUGUAACACUGAACUAUUAGUUUAUUACCUUCUGUUUUUACUUGGUGAAUGACAUCCUCUGUUUGAUUAAUAGGAUCAAUGAUCUCUUUUGCUAUACUAGAUGAAUCAUUAGUACAUUCAAACAAUUGAUACCUUGGACAAAAGAAGAGGUCAGUACAUACUCUUAUCUUGGUGUGGUAUGUAAGUGAUCAAAUUCAAAAGAUUGUACACCUUGCAACUAAAAGCUUCAGUUCAUUUAUAUGUAAUUCGAGUGGUGAUUUAAAGUAUGUUGAUAGAAGCUACUUGUUUCUAGUUGACAGGUUAGAUGAAAGCUCAAUGUUAGCUAUCAGUUGAGUGACGAGCCCAGAUUUCUCUCUUGUUUGUUGUAGUUAGGUAACUUCAAAUAUGUUUAGGGUUUAGGGAUAUAGCUAGGUUUAAUUGAUUGAUGUAAUGAGUUCUACUGAUACAUUUCUCAUUGUUACUUUGUAAAUGAAAUUAAUUAUAAUGAGGGUAAUAUGAGUAUGAUAUUUGAG
rnacentral:lncRNA from 1 species